ACUGGUCUUCCGUCAAGGGUAUACAAGUAGCUGUGCUCCCCUGCUAGAACUUCCAAACAAGCUCUCAAGGUCCAUUGUAGGAAAGUAGGGUAGUAAAGCUUAUGGACUACCCAAAAACUGUGAACCUUGGCAUGGGUCGGGUAAUCCACUAGU
rnacentral:snRNA from 1 species